AGCAGCCGCGGUAAUUCCAGCUCCAAUAGCGUAUAUUAAAGUUGUUGCAGUUAAAAAGCUCGUAGUUGAAUUUCGGGGUUAGUAGGUUGGUCAUGCCUCUGGUAUGUACUGGUCUCACUGAUUCCUCCUUCCUGAUGAACCGUAAUGCCAUUAAUUUGGUGUUGCGGGGAAUUUGGACUGUUACUUUGAAAAAUUAGAGUGUUUAAAGCAAGCUAACGCUUGAAUACAUUAGCAUGGAAUAAUGAAAUAGGACGUUCGAUCCUAUUUUGUUGGUUUCUAGGAUUGACGUAAUGAUUAAUA
rnacentral:rRNA from 1 species